rnacentral:rRNA from 1 species
UAGGGGGCAAGCGUUGUCCGGAAUCAUUGGGCGUAAAGAGCGUGUAGGCGGCCAGAUAAGUCCGCUGUGAAAUCUCGAGGCUCAACUUCGAGCUGUCGGUGGAAACUGUCUGGCUAGAGUCCGGAAGAGGAGAAUGGAAUUCCUGGUGUAGCGGUGAAAUGCGCAGAUAUCAGGAAGAACACCCGUGGCGAAGGCGGUUCUCUGGGACGGUACUGACGCUGAGACGCGAAAGCGUGGGGAGCGAACAGG